AAGUCGUAACAAGGUAACCGUAGGUGAACCUGCGGUUGGAUCAUUAUAGAAAUGAUUUUAUUAUUGAGGGAUCAACCUUUAAACAGUUGAUCACUCUUUACCCCAAAACCAUGUGAAUUUGUAUUUAUAAAGGAAACAAUGUGUAAAAACUUGUUUCCUUUAAUUUUAUAAACAUUUUUAAACCUUUUUUUUUAUAUUUAAAAAAUAAAAUAAAAAAAAACAACUUUUGACAAUGGAUCUCUUGGCUCUC
rnacentral:misc_RNA from 1 species